UACGGGGGGUGCGAGCGUUGUCCGGAAUCACUGGGCGUAAAGGGCGCGUAGGUGGCGUGAUAAGGGUGUGGUGAAAGCCCGGGGCUCAACCCCGGGUCUGCCAUGCCGACUGUCAGGCUGGAGUACUGUAGGGGCAGGCGGAAUUCCGGGUGUAGCGGUGGAAUGCGUAGAGAUCCGGAGGAAGACCGGUGGCGAAGGCGGCCUGCUGGGCAGUUACUGACACUGAGGAGCGAAAGCAUGGGGAGCGAACAGG
rnacentral:rRNA from 1 species